rnacentral:lncRNA from 1 species
AGGGACGCCCCCACAGGUAGACGAAGAGGGUCCAGAGAAAGGUGGGGAUUCCCUAACCCCUUCUUUCUUGGCACAGACAGGCAGAGAACACCUCUUUUCUCACCCCUGGGCAGCCCCAGGAAGUCAAUCCUUCCACUAUUCCUGCUCCGUGCCUCUCUUCCCUCUGCCCAGAUUCCUGGGAGACUCAAAACCCUGUUCAACUCUCUCUGGGCUAGCUGCUCCCCUCCCCAAGAGGAUUUCUCUCCAGAGCUGGUAUCAUCGCUUAAUGAUGUUCCACCAACAAGGGGAAGAUUCAGCCAUGUCUUCCUAGGAUCCAGCAUCCAAACCUGGACCAAAGUCCUCGGAUCCUCAGCAAUGGGGGUGCAUCUGGUGAUGGUGUUCAUGCUAAAUUUGUGCCAAGAGACACCUGUACUUGUGGGAGAAUUAAUAUUUCACUUCUGUUUAGGUUUCUUUUCUGGGAGCUGCUAUCACUGAAUACAUAAAGAAAUUGAGCCUAUAUGAUUUCAAUCUUCACCUUCUGAUGCUGAUGAAACAGGAUUCUAUGCAGUUUUCCACAGGGAGAAGCAGCAGGCUGAAGUGGCUCUUUAGGGAGACACAUACCUCCACAGGAAGAGCAGUCUAGAUUGUUUUAGCACAUUCCACUUAAGGAUUGCAGUGUGACAGCAGAGAAAAUCCUCUCCAGUCAAGUAAUUGCAUCCAUUUCAUCUUCCCAGCCCUCCUCUAGAUGGGAGGUGGAGGUGUGUGUACCAAUCUCUUAAUUCAGAAAUGAGACAAGAGGAGGAAAAAGGAGUUCCGGAGGACAGUGGGGACCCCAGCCAGAGCCUGGGGACUUGGCUGCCUUGGAACCAGAACCUGGCCCCUCAGAGGAGUUGCAGAAUUUCGAUAGAGGAGUGGCAGGAGGUGUACUGGCUGAAGAGGAGGCCCAAGGAACUCCUUUUCAUACAUCAAAACUGAGCUUAUCACCUCUACCCUGAAGUCAUCCUGGACAUCACUGGUCCCAGUUAAUCACUCACUUAUCUUUGCCAUCCUUGACCUGGGAAGAGAACGUUGCCCUCAUUGGUCUGGAAUCAGCAGGUACCUCAUGGCUGGAGGUGUAUUUUCAGACUCCUUUGGCAUCUGGUGAGGCCUGUGGAUUCAUUCUCAGAAUCACAUUUUUAAAUGCACAUAAUAAAAUACAUAGAAUUGCAAAGGAAGUUAAUUAUAUUGAAAUACAGUUAUCAAAAAUAUAAAUAAAACAAGUAUGUGGUACAGUCAUAUGUGUGCUUCUUUAUUAAGUCAUUACAAAGCAAGAUCUAUUUGGAGGUCUAAUAACUGUCAUAUGCUUGAAAAAAUCCUUAACAAUCAUAAUAUAUUAAAAAAUCUGAUUUCUACUUUGGCAAAUCAUAGAUAUUGCUGAAACUGUGGUUUAUUGCCUGCAUUCAUAAUUGAAGGAAAUGCUAGAGUUCAGUGAGAAGGUUGUGAAAAUAAAGAGAGCCUUUUUUUCUCAUCAAG